CCUGGUUGAUCCUGCCAGUAGUCAUAUGCUUGUCUCAAAGAUUAAGCCAUGCAUGUGUAAGCACACACUGUGUUAAAAGUGAAGCCGCGAAUGGCUCAUUACAACAGCCACAGUUUAUUAGAACUUACUCUCAUGGAUAACUGUGGUAAUUCUAGAGCUAAUACACGCACAAAAACUUCAACUGAAUUGGUUGAAGUGCUUUUAUUAGAACAAAAACCGAACGGCGUUUGAUGAAUGUUGAACGUCGAAACUGUUUGGUGAAUCUGAAUAACUAUUUCUGAUCGCAUGGUCUAGCACCGGCGACAUCACUUUCAAGUGUCUGCCUUAUCAACCUUCGAUGGUAGUCUAUGCGACUACCAUGGUGAUAACGGGUAACGGAGAAUCAGGGUUCGACUCCGGAGAGGGAGCCUGAGAAACGGCUACCACAUCCAAGGAAGGCAGCAGGCGCGCAAAUUACCCACUCCCAGCUUGGGGAGGUAGUGACGAAAAAUAACGAGACGAUUCUCGUUUGAGAAACGUUAUCGAAAUGAGUACGCUUUACACACGCUAACGAGUAGCAAUUGGAGGGCAAGUCUGGUGCCAGCAGCCGCGGUAAUUCCAGCUCCAAUAGCGUAUAUUAAAGUUGCUGCGGUUAAAACGCUCGUAGUUGAAUUGUGGUCUUAGACAACAGUCCCCCUACAUAGGUGUGGCACGGUUGCUCGAGAUCUUCAUUCGUGGUUGCUGUUGUUGCUCUUGAUUGAGUGUCAAUGGUGCCUCGAGAUUUUACUUUGAAAAAAUUAGAGUGCUCAAAGCAGGUUGUGAUGCCUGAAUAAUGGUGCAUGGAAUAAUAGAAUACGAUCUCGGUUCUAUUUUGUUGGUUUUCGAACUGGAGAUAAUGAUUGAAAGGAACAGACGGGGGCAUUCGUAUUGCUGCGUUAGAGGUGAAAUUCUUGGAUCGCAGCAAGAUGAACAAUUGCGAAAGCAUUUGCCAAGAAUGUUUUCAUUAAUCAAGAACCGAUCAGAUACCGCCCUAGUUCUAACGGUAAACUAUGCCAACCAGCGAUUCGCCGAAGUUCAUUUAAGACUCGGCGAGCAGCUUCCGGGAAACCAAAGUGUUUCGGUUCCGGGGGAAGUAUGGUUGCAAAGCUGAAACUUAAAGGAAUUGACGGAAGGGCACCAC
rnacentral:rRNA from 1 species